rnacentral:tRNA from 1 species
CAGGGAGACAACAAAAUGUUUAAUAUUAAUUUUGUCACCUUAGGUCGAUCGGUAUCUCACAUUCUUAAUUUAUUAAGAAUUUUAUUUCCUAAGUUUUUUUCUAGGUCACACCCAUUACUUUUCCUGGGCCAUUAGCUCAGGUGGUUAGAGCGCACCCCUGAUAAGGGUGAGGUCCCUGGUUCAAGUCCAGGAUGGCCCAUAUCUCUAUGUUGGGGGUAUAGCUCAGUUGGUAGAGCGCCUGCUUUGCAAGCAGGAUGUCAGCGGUUCGAGUCCGCUUACCUCCACUGAUCACCACCUCUUCCAUAACUUGCAAAGGAAACUGUUUUGAGUUGUGAUCAAAUUCUGAACGAAUCUAGCUUCCUAAUAAAUUUGAUUAAGAUGCUGGACUCAUUGAAUUAAUUUUCAUUGUUUUCAGAGAACCUUGACAACUGCAUAGAUUAUUUUUAAAGACAAUAAGCAUCUUUAAUGAUGCAGAUUUAUUAUUUGUGCAAAUGCAUUAGUAACAAUUCUAUUAAGCUGAUGCUUCAAUUUUGAAGUUAUU